rnacentral:tRNA from 2 species
GCCUCGGUGGUGAAACUGGUAGACACAAGAGACUUAAAAUCUCUCGGCUGCAAGGCCGUGCCGGUUCGAUCCCGGCCCGAGGCACCA